rnacentral:rRNA from 1 species
UGGGGAAUAUUGCACAAUGGGCGCAAGCCUGAUGCAGCCAUGCCGCGUGUGUGAAGAAGGCCUUCGGGUUGUAAAGCACUUUCAGCGAGGAGGAAGGUGGUGAACUUAAUACGUUCAUCAAUUGACGUUACUCGCAGAAGAAGCACCGGCUAACUCCGUGCCAGCAGCCGCGGUAAUACGGAGGGUGCAAGCGUUAAUCGGAAUUACUGGGCGUAAAGCGCACGCAGGCGGUUUGUUAAGUCAGAUGUGAAAUCCCCGGGCUCAACCUGGGAACUGCAUUUGAAACUGGCAAGCUAGAGUCUCGUAGAGGGGGGUAGAAUUCCAGGUGUAGCGGUGAAAUGCGUAGAGAUCUGGAGGAAUACCGGUGGCGAAGGCGGCCCCCUGGACGAAGACUGACGCUCAGGUGCGAAAAGCGUGGGGAGCAAAACAGGAUUAGAUACCCUGGUAGUCCACGCUGUAAAACGAUGUCGAUUUGGAGGUUGCGCCCUUGAGGCGUGGCUUCCGGAGCUAACGCGUUAAAUCGACCGCC